UACGUAGGGGGCAAGCGUUGUCCGGAUUCAUUGGGCGUAAAGAGCGUGUAGGCGGCCAGGUAGGUCGGUUGUGAAAACUGGAGGCUCAACCUUCAGAGGUCGACCGAAACCAUCUGGCUAGAGUCCGGGAGAGGAGAGUGGAAUUCCUGGAUGUAGCGGUGAAAUGCGCAGAUAUCAGGAAGAACACCCGUGGCGAAAGCGGCUCUCUGGAACGGUACUGACACUGAGACGCGGAAAGCGUGGGGAGCGAACAGG
rnacentral:rRNA from 1 species